AUACGGAGGGGGCUAGCGUUGUUCGGAAUUACUGGGCGUAAAGGGCGUGUAGGCGGUUCGAUCAGUCAGGCGUGAAAGCCCUGGGCUCAACCCAGGAACUGCGUUUGAUACUGUCGAACUUGAGUUCGGGAGAGGGUAGUGGAAUUCCCAGUGUAGAGGUGAAAUUCGUAGAUAUUGGGAAGAACACCAGUGGCGAAGGCGGCUACCUGGACCGAUACUGACGCUGAGGCGCGAAAGCGUGGGGAGCAAACAGGAUUAGAAACCCGUGUAGUCC
rnacentral:rRNA from 1 species